rnacentral:lncRNA from 1 species
GGUGAGGACGGUGACGAGGGCGACGAGUACUAGAGCCUGCCUCCUGGUGCUUUCGCAAGGCGUGCUGCUGCUAUCCCAUGAUCUGCCCGAGUGGCUUUAUCUGUUAUCUGUCUGUUUGAAUCUUUGCUUUGUGGUGUUUGUUUUACAACCUGUUGUGUUGUAAGACCCUUGUAUCUUUGAACCUGUUAUGCACCUUGGUUAAUAUGCAUGCUAUCUGGUUAUCUACACCAUAGCCUUAAUUGCUCUGUCUCCAUUUUCCUGUUUUAUACUAAUUUGUAUUGUUUCAUUUGUGGUACUGUUGAACUCUGCCUAUUAUCUCAACAUAGCCGGUCGGAAGCCCGAGUGAAGGAGUGUUGGUGAGAUGCUUGGCGAGCCAUUGUUUCAG